UCCCAGUUCGGAUUGUAGUCUGCAACCCGGCUACAUGAAGCUGGAAUCGCUAGUAAUCGCGGAUCAGAAUGCCGCGGUGAAUACGUUCCCGGGUCUUGUACACACCGCCCGUCACACCAUGGGAGCCGGAAAUGCCCGAAGUCAGUGACCCAACCGCAAGGAGGGAGCUGCCGAAGGUGGAGCUGGUAACUGGGGUGAAGUCGUAACAAGGUACC
rnacentral:rRNA from 1 species